GUGUGAAUGAGUGUGAUGAAGAAGCGUCUGUGUUUGGAGGCGGAGCUCCGGUCGGACGAGUGUCCAAUGGAAACAUCCCACAGUGUCCCUGUGUCCGAUCAUCAACCAGAGCAACAGGUUGCUGCGGUCCGACCCAGAGCGGCUCUGCUCUGCUGUCCCAGGUGUCUGGCAGGAGAGCCGGGUCACAUCAACCACAUCAUGGGCCUGUGAUCCAGCACCCCCCACAGGAGGAUGGGGGGGGGGAGGGGCCCCCGGCAGCUUCUCAUUUCCAUCCAAUCAGAUUGGUCCACUGAAAAGUCCAAUCAGGUGCUUGCGUGUCCGAUCAUUACCUCCGUCAGCGUCUCGAUUCACUCACGUUUGUGCUUCCCGAGCUUUCAGCCACGCCUCACGGCCUUCCUCAGCUGUUUGUACAGUUGCCAUGGAGAUGGUUUAGUUGCCAUCACAUGAUCUCAACAUGGACUUCGUUGGUGCGUUAAAGGACCCUGUGACGUCUGAGCUUUCUUCUUCAGCUGAAGCUUAAAUCACCGGUCACUAUAUACUGAUCUCCCAGCAACCCGUUCACCGCGUCAAUGUUAGCUCCGCCCCUCACAUCUUCCUACCUGCCGUCUGAUUGGUUCACACCCCGUCCCACCUGAAGGCAGCGGUGCAGUCAGUUUAAUAACAGAACUACUAAUCAGUGACUCAGCUGUGACCUCGUGAGGCGUUCACUUGGGCUGGGAAAUAUAACAGUGAUAUUUAUCACAAUCUAAUUUUUUUAAUAACAAGUUUUUAAUAAAGGUUUGAUUCAUUUGAAUCACGAACGAAUCAGCACUUAAUUUUUCUACUAAGAAAUGAAUUUUGUUGAAAAGGGACUGAAAAAGAUUUGAGUGUAUUUGUUGUGGACGUUCUGCCUCGGAUCUGUGGAUCUACCGUCUGUUGGGAGCAGGAAGAAAAGUUUAAACCACGUUAACGUUCGCUGCCUUUAAACUGAAGGAUCCCACGUUGAUCCUGUGUUUAUUGAUAAAUGUGAAGUUUUGUAUUGUGAUUUCCUUUCUGGCCUACGCUCUUUAACAGCAGACGGCUCCAUCGGCGCUCGCCACGCUUGUCGGGUUCCUGAAUGUUUCCUCCCCUAAAAACUCUAAAGGGCUUUUAUGAUGAAAGGAAUGAAAAGGGAAAUAAAUUCGUCUUCCGGUUUGUAGUUUUAUAUUUUUAUGAGGCAGAUUUUAUAUUUUGAAGCAGUUUUUUAUUAAUCUGACUGGAUGUAAACUUCUUAAGAAUCUAUUUUUGAUGACAUCAUUUCCUGCUUUGGUGCUGGCCAAUCAGAGCGCAGCAUUUGUACGCAGACUGAUUUCAAAAUAAAAGCUUUGACUGAU